CCGGAGCCGGCGCAGCGCAGCGCAGCGCAGCCGCACCUUCCCGGGCCGACGUGCGAGGGCGGCCCGCGCCGGGAGCCGCCUCUACCCGGGUGGAGACGGAUGUUAGCAGUUGGUGGGUGAAGACACUGGAAAGGCUUCAACCAUAAAACUGGCUGUUGUCAGGUGUGAGAGUUUUUCUAUGCAUCGGGAAAGGCUCCCUGUGCCCACGUGCGUACUGCUGUGUCCUGGUGCUUCUGCAAGGACUGAACGUGCACCUCACUGCUAUCUGUACCUGCCAAGAAAGGACGUAAAGCAUUGGCUGCCCUUCCUGUAACUUUUCUGAGAACAAAAUAAAAAAGUAUCACGGGAGCAUUAAACACCAGGACACCUUCUAGACAAAGUGCAAAAUGAUUGGUUCUUUACGGCUCCCUCAACUAUUUUUCAACUCCCAGUAGUCGAGUUCCAAAGAAGAAAUUAUGGUUUUCUCUGAGAGCCAGAAGUUCCCUUUAUACAUUUCUGGGU